rnacentral:rRNA from 1 species
UGGGGAAUUUUGGACAAUGGGCGAAAGCCUGAUCCAGCAAUGCCGCGUGUGUGAAGAAGGCCUUCGGGUUGUAAAGCACUUUUGUCCGGAAAGAAAUCCUUGGCUCUAAUACAGUCGGGGGAUGACGGUACCGGAAGAAUAAGCACCGGCUAACUACGUGCCAGCAGCCGCGGUAAUACGUAGGGUGCAAGCGUUAAUCGGAAUUACUGGGCGUAAAGCGUGCGCAGGCGGUUUGCUAAGACCGAUGUGAAAUCCCCGGGCUCAACCUGGGAACUGCAUUGGUGACUGGGCAGGCUAGAGUAUGGCAGAGGGGGGUAGAAUUCCACGUGUAGCAGUGAAAUGCGUAGAGAUGUGGAGGAAUACCGAUGGCGAAGGCAGCCCCCUGGGCCAAUACUGACGCUCAUGCACGAAAGCGUGGGGAGCAAACAGGAUUAGAUACCCUGGUAGUCCACGCCCUAAAACGAUGUCAACUAGUUGUUGGGGGAUUCAUUUCCUUAGUAACGUAGCUAACGCGUGAAGUUGACCGCCUGGGGAGUACGGUCGCAAGAUUAAAACUUAAAGGAAUUGAC